GUAACAAGGUUUCCGUAGGUGAACCUGCGGAAGGAUCAUUAUUAAUAUCUGGGAUAUCUGUAUGGAUUCCCAAUUACAAACCUCUCUGGUUACCUGUCCAUGUUGCUUUCACAAGGUAGGAAACAUCACUGAUGGUAGUGGUUAUUUGUACAGCUUGCAUUUUUGUACUGUACAGGUACUUGUGAAAGAUCUCAAUAAACGUUUUAACUAUGUUGUCUGAUCUGGUUACAUACCAGUUUUCUUAAGUGAAAACUUUCAACAACGGAUCUCUUGGCUCUCGCAUCGAUGAAGAACGCAGCGAAAUGCGAUAAGUAAUGUGAAUUGCAGAAUUCAGUGAAUCAUCGAAUCUUUGAACGCAUAUUGCGCCCUUUGGCAUUCCUUAGGGCAUGCCUGCUCGAGCGUCACAGAAAACCCCAUCACAGUUCCUGUGGUCUUGGUAUGAGUGGGUUGAUAGCAUGUGGAGACAUGCUUAUAACACUCUACUGAAAUUUAUAGACAGGAUACCAGAUAUGGGCAAUAGACUUUGUAAAUGUCCACAGGAUAUAUAUCAGUCAUGUGUCAUGUUUGGUCCUGAUAUUAUGGACUCCUAUUCAAUACAAACAUUGGGUUGACCUCGAAUCAGGUAGGGAUACCCGCUGAACU
rnacentral:rRNA from 1 species